GUGGAUAUACAGGCAGGCCAAGGGGAAAGCUCUUUCCUAUUUCCAGCAGGACACACCUGGCAAUGGAUGUGACAUUCAGCACUGCCCAGGUUUCUUCCACUUGGAGGAGGCAAAGGGGUGAAUGGAAGGAGGCAAUCCUCUGGCAGUGGGAUGCUAGGGAGCAAUAAUAAGGCAAGUUGGCUUGCUUGAAGGCUGCAGAGUCAAUGCUGUCAAAGACUGUGAGAUGAUUCUCACCCAGGUGAAAGCUUAGUACAAUGUUUCAUGUGUGUGAUGUGUAAUGUUUUAGCAUUUUUUCUCUUGUGAUUUUUAUUAAAGUGCUAGAAUUUAUUUGCGAGCAGCCUUAGAUAGGUUUCUAUAUCCUUAAAGGCUGGACAAAUAUAUAAUCAUAAUAAACCCACAAAAUAAAUAACUAUAGCUAACCAAAGACUUCCCAACAUGCAUCCUAGCUUGCAUGAAGGGAGGAUCAAAGCAGCUAUAUGUAGGACCAUGAAGCUCAUUCAUAUUGUUAAGCCAAGAUAUAAAUGUUGGCUUAACAUUAGCAUAGCAGAAUUCUAAACUUUGCUAGAGAAGAUCCAUUGUUAUUACUUUAGUGGCCUGCACAUUUCUGCUUGUCAAACGUAAGGCGUUUUGUGGGCUAUAAAGCUGAACAGAGGUGGGUGCUUGCUUUAUUUCAUGUUUAUUUCCAGAUAACGCCCAGUUGUGUAUCUCUCUGGGAGAUUUGCCAACUUCAAAGCAGUAGUAAAAACACUCCAUAAAAUAUGUUUGCAGGAUGACAAAGCAAAGGAAACUGUUCAUCUACAAGGAAGUAACUCAUAAAUACUGAAGGGCUGAAACAAUGGCACUCCUCUUGUAAUAUCCUAUUUUACAUAGUAUUUCAAAAAGCAGCAUGACACGCUAGGUUAGGCUGCUGGAAAACUGGAAUGAAGUGCUUAAGAACAUUGUGGAAGAUGGCGAUGUGCUGCUUCAAAAAUGGCACCAUGUAAUGCCUGAACUAAGAUUACAUGGCAUCUGUCAAAGAUGGAAAUGGAACAGAAUUUUUCCUGGUAUUCCAGUUGUUCUAUUUGCAGUGCAAUGGGUCUUAUCCAAUCUUCUUAGAAUCAUAAUUGAAAUCUUCUGAAAGAUGUGCUCCUGAGAUCCAACUGAACAGCAGAGGACCCAAGAAGCAAGGUGAAGCUUGGCAUGAAACUCUAGUAAGUCCUAUCUCCUCGGUUACUUAGAUCAAAGAACAAAAGAGCAAGGAUGCUUCCAAACAGGUGUUCAUGAUGGAACAGUGCUCCUCACACACCUGAGCUUUUUGUGGCAGCUACAGGAUGUUAUUGGCAUCAAAAUGCUCCAAUUUAAGCUAGAUCAACCCUUUCUGGGGAAAGCCCAGUAAGCACACAAAUGAACAAACCUGUUUACAGUGACCUGCUUUCAGUAUAAUAACCCAUUCAUAAAUUAAGUCCCCCCCAAGCCCCAUCCAGAAGCACCCCAAGAAGGAUCUGGCUUUGCAACAAAGACUGGUCAGGCUGAACGCCAGACACACAGAAGGCUUACUCAAUGAUCUGACUGGUUAUUAUUUUGUGAAAUUAUGUCUUUGACUGUGAUGUGAUGGGGUGGUGCAGAAGCUGAAUUCUCACAUGCUGUCCCUGAAAGUGCAGUUUCAAAGCCAGCCUGGGGGCACUGCCUUGAGUGUCAACAUUCACCUGUCCUGCUGAAAAGAGGAAAGUGAACAGGGAAAGGUUGGGCAACAGGGACAGGAAGGUGACUGGGCAGAGGAUGGGCCUGUGAAAGUUGUGUUGUUUGGAGGUCAAACUCUCCUUCAAGAAAUCUGCAGGCACCCCCCCCCCUCCAUUUUUCUUCAAGUGACAUGCAAUUUCUGACUUUCUGACAAUCAGUUCCACACUGGAGACUGCUAAAUAAUCCUGAGCAACACAAAUGUGUUCCAUCCUAAUGAUGAUUAUUGCACAAUGUUUUGCCUAUGAACAAUUAUAUACAUGAAAUAACUCCCCUUAUUAAAUUUGGAUUGGAUGCUAAUUAAGACUAAUUUAGAAAGAAACUGUAUGCAAUUUGGGUGAUCUCGGGGAAGGAUUAUAAUCAAUGUGAAGUUACAUUUACUUUUAAUUGCUGGAAUUCUAGCGGGCUUUCUCAUGCGCUAUAUUGCACCUAAUUUGGCAUACCCUAGAUGAUCUUCAGUGGGAGAAAUUUGUAUCAACUAAAAAAUGUGCAACUGAGUGGCUAGGCAUAAAUGAAAUUACUUGUAGCAGGACGUACCGUUUUCAUUCUCCACUCCCAAGUCAAUGUGGUUAAUCCAUGAAUCCAGGAUUAUAUACAGAGGGUUGAACGCUUCCUCAAAACUGAGUUCUUUACCUUGGAAUUAAAUCUCCUUCAUGUUAGAUAUGCCCAUUACCACAUCAGGUUACUCCUGCCUCUCAUAAUGCUCAUCUAUAUCCUCUGUGAGUAGCUUGUACAUCAUAGGGACACCUCAGCCCCUGGGAAGACUUCAGGAUCAGCCAUUGUAAAUCGCAGAGUUUGCCGACCCUGUCACAGCAGUGAUUGGCCUUUAAGUUGCUCUCUCCCCAUCCCCCUUACAGAUAUUCAGCUGUGGUACGGUGAGGGUGUAGUUGUCAGGAGCAUCCUACACACAAGUAGGCACCCAGCAGAGACACAUGCCUGGCUGGCAUGUUCUCUCCCUCCUGGUUGGUCGUUCGGGAGACUCAAAGUCUUUUUUUUUUUUAAUAAUAUUUAUUAAGAUUUAAGAGGUUACAGAAAGAAAAAAUAGAAAACAACAUAUUAAGCAAAAACAAAAGAUCACAAAAAAAGACUAAAAAGAUAAAAACAGUUAAAGAGAGAAAAAAAACACAAAAUACAAUGAACCUUCCCAUAACUUAUCUUUCAUUUGCUUGUUUCCUUGACCUCCUCACACCUCCCUUUUUUGUAUUCUAGUUCAGUUAGCUAUUUCAGCAAGUCCUUUCCAUCUUUUCCAGUUUUUGUCCUAUAUUUUAUCUUAAUAUAAUGUAACUUUACUUUCCCUCCUUUCACCAUUUAACAAUCUGUUUUUUUCUUAAUCCUUUAUAGCAUUUCUGCUAAAACCACAUUACUUCAUUCCAACAUCCUUCUAACAUUCCUUAAUUUUACAGUGUUUCUGUAAAUAAACUUUAAAUUUCUUCCAAUCUUCUUCCACCAACUCUUCUCCCUGGUCUCGGAUCGGGAGACUCAAAGUCUUUUUCCAGCCCAAACAUCACAGCGACUGAUACCAAGAGGCAUCAACACACUUUAGGACUAGUAGGACUAGUAGCCAGUGUGGUGUAGUGGUUCAGAGUAGUGGACUCGUAAUCUGGUGAACCAGGUUCGCUUCCCCGCUCCUCCACAUGCAGCUGCUGGGUGACCUUGGGCUAGUCACACUUCUCUGAAGUCUCUCAGACUCACUCGCCACACAGAGUGUUUGUUGUGGGGGAGGAAGGGAAAGGAGAUUGUUAGCCACUUUGAGACCCCUUAGGGUAGUGAUAAAGCAGGAUAUCAAAUCCAAACUCUUCUUCUCUUCUUCUUCUUCAGAGUGUUGGCAGUUCGAGUGACAGACUCAGUAGCGCAGCAUUUUGGCUAAACUACGUUUAUUUACAUAUACACACUCGGAGCAUCGUAACUCAGCUCCUUCCUCUUCAGCAUCAGAUAGCAAAGAGAGAGAACAAAGGACAACAUUCCUACAUCAUGGAAACACAGUAAUAAAAACAUCCUGUCUCCGUCACUUCCCACGAUGUGGAAUGAAAACAUACACCGUCAUGUGAAAACCAAUCCCAUGACUGCAACACGGGGCAAGAAUUCUAACAAGUAGGGUCAUUGUUGUUGUGGGGUUGUUGCUCUUUUUGACAUUGUUGAGGGCAGACUCUGCCCUCAAAGCCUGUGCUUUGUUUAUAUGCCCAAAUGACCUGAUGCUCAAACAGACAUACGUGAGUUGGGAGCACAGCUUGUGCUGAGAUACUACUUCUCUCACCAUGCAUGCUGGGAGAAAAUUGCUUAAAACCACAGAGUGCAACAAGGCAAGGCAGGGGAUAAGAGAGGUUUCAUUCCAUUGCUCUGCAUGCUUCCUUUCCUGUGAAGAGUGAAUGGGGGCGGUGGACAAAAAUAUGUUUGGCUGGCCUGUCAUGUCUAGUUUGGUCCUAAGUUGGGUGUGUUGAUUGGCCUUUAAAAUCAGAUACCUGGUUCCUAUUUUUACAAAAUAUAGACUUCUAUAUACUUUUCCAUGUACAAGACGAGGUUUUUUAAUUAAAAAAUUAUGUUAAAAAUUGGGGCUCAUCUUAUACAUGGAUAGUGCAUAGGGAGGACGUAGGAUUGGUUGUUGCCGUGAGCCGGAGAUUGUCAGCGGCUAUUAGGCGUGUUAUUGGUGGCUGCGGCAGGGGCUGGUGUUGAUUGGCUGUCGCUACGGCAAUUGGGUGGGUGAUCAGCAAAAGAACAACAACUCUGGGCCACUCCCCAAAAAAGCUCAGCAACUCUGGGCAAUUUCCCCCCAUUUUCUUAAUUUUGAGUCCCCCAAAAUAGGGGGCAUCUUAUACAUGGGGUGUGUGCGUGUUAUACACAAAAAAUACAGUAGUUAUCCUGAGCAUUGAAAGAAUUUCACAUGCUUAGUAAUGUUUAAAAUGUUCUGGAAGGUAGGUCUGUAUUAUACCAUUCUCUCUCGAGACAGAUGGAUAGCACGUCUUGCUAUGCUUUCUUGCAACUCAAGUUCGAAUGGCUACUGAGGAAAAGGAAAAGGAAAUAAAGAAGUUUAAUAGAUGCUGGGCUGAUCAUAAACGGCCUUGAUCUCUUGUUACGGGGUGAUAGCUGUUACCUGGCUGCUCUUUUCGAUUAUCUUCCUAAAUGCGUUCAGUCUUUCAGAAGUAAUUUAGAUGGCUGGCAAAUUCUCUGUAGUCGAGCAAUUGAGACAGCCGAGCAUUCUGUUUGCCACGGCUUCAGUAAACUUAGUACAAAACAUUCGCUGUGUGCAUCUUGUAAAUGGGCAUGUGCCUCGUUCAUAAUAUCACAAAGAGAUAUGCUAGGCUAGAAAUGUCUUUGUCUGUCUUGUAAUAAUGCUGUGCAACACCCUGGCCAGCACAGCAAAGGGCAACAGCUGUGUAUUUUUAAAGAUUUUGAAGCUGGCAUUGUCUUCGGCAGUUCGUGUGCUUAGUUUGUUUGAUGACAGUUGGUGACCCGACCAUCACCCGUGACAGGUAGCCUUUUGAUAUAUGAAGUGUUUCUUUGCGUGUGUUCAUUUUGCAGUUUGCACAACUUUAUUUACUGCAUCUCAGCUAUACACACACGAGAUGGACUUCUACAAAAAACAAUGGAGAGGACAGAGAGUUCAGAUCAUGUUCAAAAAACUCUGAAAAAGAGAGGGAGCAUACUUUCCGGGACUUUGUUCAGAAAGAGGAGGAGAUCCAUGGCCAUCUCUCUCUUACAGCCCAUUGCCCCAGAUCUUGUUGUUGUUUAGUCGUUUAGUCGUGCCUGACUCUUUGUGACCCCGUGGACCAGAGCACGCCAGGCACUUCGGUCUUCCACUGCCUCCCACAGUUUGGUCAAACUCAUGCUGGUAGCUUCGAGAACACUAUCCAACCAUCUCGUCCUCCAUCGUCCCCUUCUCCUUGUGCCCUCCAUCUUUCCCAACAUCAGGGUCUUUUCCAGGGAGUCUUCUCUUCUCAUGAGGUGGCCAAAGUAUUGGAGUCUCAGCUUCCAGUGAGCACUCAGGGCUGAUUUCCAGAUCUAUUGAUGAUUUAUUUGAAACUACCCGCAAACCUCCUUUGUUUCAAUGGUACUAGCUUUUGAACAACUGAAUCUCACAUUUAGGCAUUUUAUAAAUUGUACCCUGUCUGCAAAUUCUGUACACACAUUGAAGGUCAAUUAGUUUGUGUAUUCGGCCACAAAUGUAACGGAACACAGUGAAAUUCUCUUGAUUAUUUGGUUUUGUGUAUGGUUUUGGAUAACAGGUUUUUACCAUUAGAGGGUGCUAAAGACUUUCCACAGAUUAAACAAAAAUCUUUAUGUAAAUGUGGAUGUGUUAAAUACCACAUAUAUAUCUGAAAACAAUUACAUUAAGGUAUUCUAGUAAAUCAACACGUGCCAGGAAAUUUUCAAUGCAGCCACCUCAGCUUUUUACUCAUUGAAAUGUAGGAGAAAUCUUGCAGCGGGAACUGAUUCAUUUAUGACUGCUAAUGCAAAAGGUUGCAAUUCAACAUGGCCCGCAUAGCUGGAAUCCACAAGAGCCACAGUAUGGUCAAAGCUGGAUUAACUACCUGAGGAAAUGGCUGCUUGAUACCUGUGUUUACUGAACACUUUGUGGCUAAAACUUAAAGAAAGACCAAAGCAAUGUUAUGUUAUCAGAAACAACUGACUUUUAGUCCAUUGAGGGAGAAAUCUUUGUAUCUAAAUAUAUGCUUAUUUGAAAAAUGUGCUUAUUGGAGACACUGCCCCCCCCCCACCUGUGAGAUCUUGUUUUUGCCAAGAAAAAGUUCGAAUUACAUUCAAAUGAUGUGUUUGUCAUAGAAUCUCUCUCUCUCUCUCUCUCUCUCUCUCUCUCUCUCUCUCUCUCUCUCACACACACACACAGCUUUAUUGUGGUCCAUAAACCCAAGAUGAUAGAAUCAUAGAAUUGUGCCUCCACUCCACAGGGACCUCACCCGUUCUCCAAGAAUUCUCAAAGAUUAUACGCAGAGGCUCUGAGAUUACAUUUGCAAGCUCCUUUACAACUCCUGGGUGCAGCUCAUCAGGUCCUGGAGAUGUGAAUUUAUUUAAAGUAGCAAGCUGUUCCCUUACCACCUCAGCUCCCUUCUUGCAUCAUUUAUUCUGUUAUCGUCAGGUUGGGCACUGCUUUCCUUUUGGGUGAAGACAGAGGCAAAGGCUGGAUCUAGACACUUCAAAGAAGCGUCUCAGGAAAACACGCUGCAAACUUUGUAUGAGAAAUUGGAUUGGCAAAAAUGGAACUCCACAGAGCCAUUUGGUGUCACAGUGUUAUAAUGCAUAUACUGUACAAUGCAUAUAAAGCACUUUUUCUUUGCCAAUGUAGCUGAGUUCAAAGUUGGUCUUGAGCAGUUUUCCCUGCCACCCAGUUGCAUUUCUCCCCAAUUAAAAUAUUUUCUGUGCAGAGGACCU